GGGGAUGUGGCUCAGUGGUAGAGUUCUUGCUUCGCAUGCAUAAAGCCCUGGGUUUGAUACCCAGCAAUACAA
rnacentral:tRNA from 1 species